UACCAAACUAGCAAAACUUACAAGCACAUAUAUCAGGAAAAGAUUAUCAGAGUCUGCAACUCAAAAUCUUGUAGUCAACAUUCACAACUUCCCGACGUGUUCUUUGAGAGUGUCGUAAAGAGUCUCGACAAGAUUGAGCAGGAACCCGUCCGAGCCAUGCUUUGCCAGCAAGGAAACUGAAACGGGUAGGUUAUCGUACAUCCCUAGUGGUAUAGUCACCUGCAAAUACGUAGAAAUACGUUACAAACUUUCACAAGAUAUUUGCAGUCAUUGAAGAAGAAAAAGAUCGUAGUCAUAUACAAACAUGGAGACUGGAGAGGGGGAGGGAGAAGUAGAGAUAGAUAGAGGGCUUAAAAACCUGGCAGAAUCCGGAAACUACGGCAAUGGAUAGGAAGCUGAAAGCCCUGGCACGAAAAUUGUGCAGUGUUGUAGGAUCUGUUUGCAGCUUUGGUGGAUCCCCUGGAACUGUAGGCAUUGCGAGGACACCGAAAUCCUGAUGAGUAAAUCAAAGAGAUUGUGUUAUGUAUUCAUUAGAGACGGUAUGUAUCAUCCAUUUCUUCUGCUAAAGGUACCUUUUUAAGAGCAAAAGGAAGGAAGAUGCUAACAAAUAACAGUUUGUCAAAGAUGAGAGAGAGAGAGAGAGAGAGAGAGAGUACCCCGAGAAGGUCAGUAAGAGCAGCACGCAAUUCAGUCAUCACGGAGUGACAAACAUCGACAUUUUCAUCUGUUGACCGAACAGCUGCCCAUAUACGUUCUCCUAUCCCGGGACCUAAGUCAGGUCUGACUGUACUAACCCAUUCACCAUGGUUGCUCUUGAAUUCAUACCUAUUCUAUCAACCAAAUGAUAAAUUUGGAAUUCAUUAUGAACGACAAAUUUGAAUUUUGUUGAUCAAGAUGAAGAUGCAGAAAUUAUCACACUCAUAUUCAAGUCGACCAAAUCAGCACCUUUCAAGUAGACGAUCGGCGGUUGAUAGGGCUGCCAAUGACGGUAUAAUGUACUCUUCACUUGGAUUUCCUUUAUCCAAGAAAGAGUUCAAGCUUGGAACUUUGUCCUUGACAACGUCCCCAAGGUUAGCAUGUUUUAUAACAUGACCUGCAUUUGCAGAUAUAACGAGUGAGCUUCUUCUUUCCAUGUUAUGAACUUGUCCCUAUCUCAGCAGGAGACCUAAUUUAAUUAAGUGAAUGAUGAUUUUCAGGUAAUAAUCUGUCUACUGAAUUUAAUGGUCUAUUUGUGUCUUAAAAUGCGAGGGAAUUAUAAAUUGGACUCGAUUCAUGUCAAUCAAAGUACUUACAGCAAGAGAUGAAACAGAUGAAUAUGGUCAAAUCACUUACCCCCAAAUAACUUCUCAACUGAGUCAACAAGUACUUGUUUCACUCGACUGCUUGGAACACUUGAAAGCUGGAAACAGUCUUCUGCGAUGAUUAACUGAGUGGGUACGACAGGACCUGUAUCAGGCAAUUGGAGUAACACUCGUCCAACUCUAUUCAAAAUCGCAGGAUCCCUUGCAAACCAUCCUAUAUCAGAAGUUAGUGUCAAAAGGAUGGUUUCCAAUUGCUUAGAGUGCUAGAUAGAUCAUUCGCAUAGGUAAAGCUUUCGAAGUACUAUAUUUCCAAUUGCAGAAAAACUUAAACACAGAAGUGUCACAAGUAAUAAUCAACAAAAAUGCAGAAUGCCUGGAUGGCAUAUGAAUCAUUAAAGCGGAAGAAGUUAGCUACAUUCUAGCAACAGAAAUAGAGAUUUCCUGUUAUAUAAAAUCGAGGGAAAACUGAAACAUGACUUUUUUUGUCACAACCAGAAAUCAAUUUCCUAAGCCAGUCUGCAAUAUAAAAUGUCAUUGAUUUCUCACCCACUGUAUCGAAACUUUGUGCCAGGGGAGUAACUCCAGAGGUAGAAAUGACACCAUGAGAUGGCCGAAACCCAAAAACUCCACAAUAUGAAGCAGGAACUCUUAUACUUCCUCCAGUGUCGGUUCCUGAAAAAUUGAGGGUCUUGUGCUUCAACAUAAAGAAGCAAGAAAACAACAAAAGCACGCAUGGAAUAACCUACCUAAGGAAAAAUCUGCGAGGCCUACAGCUACGGCAACAGCAGAACCGCUAGAAGAGCCUCCAGGCACCCUAUCUGGUGCGCACGGAUUUCUGGGUGUGCCAUAAUGCUUGUUCUCUCCAUUUAUACUGCCAACAACACAAUGCUAAAUUCAAGAGCAUUUCUGUCGAGUGAUUUUCAAAUGUACAAAAUCAUGAUAUAAAUACUUUUACCAUGAAAAGAGACUUGUAGUGAUCAAUCAUUUGUGAAAAUUUUUGCAAACAAAACAGUAAUGCAAGUUUAAGCAUGUGAAGUAAGACAAGGCCUCUUUGCACUAACCAGUAUGCCAUUUCAUCCAUGACAGUUAUACCAAUACUUGUGGCACCUCCACUCAAUAUUGCUGAAACAGCCGGAGCUGUUGACUCAGCAGCCGGGUGAGUCCUCGCCCAAUCAGGAUUCCCAAACCCAGUCACACGUCCAGCCACAUCAAAUCUGCCUCCAAGUUCAAAUUUCAGUGAACACAAAAAUGUUUUGGCUUUUACACACACACAUGAAAAAAAUUGCACAAUUCAACACCCUGAAGUUCACCAUCAUGGUUCCACAAGCACACAUAAAACCACACAAAGCAUGAAGAUUUAUUAAAACGCUUCUCUGAAAAAGCACUUCUCAUCAUAAGUGCUUUUGCUGGAAGUAUUUUUACUUUAGUAGAAGUAAAUCCACCACAAAGUUUCAUUAAAAAUUCAAGUGCUUCAGAAAAAAAACAUUUGAACAUUUUUUCUGAAAGUGCUUUUAGUCAUUCUCAAAUGAAGAAACGCCCAAUCACAGAAACAACACACAAAAUUGGGUUCUUGGAGACAACUGAUUGAACCCAAAUCCGAAAUCAGCAAAUAAGCACAAAAGCAUAUGAAUUUUAAGUAUAACACUACAAAAUUUAAAGCAUCCACCAAAUAGAAGAGUGAUAUAAUUGAGGAAAAUUUAAGAGAGUAGCUCUCACAUGUCUUUAACAGCAAAGGUGAGGCCGCUCAGAGGAAGGUCAUGUGAUGAAGACGGCGGUCGGAGAAGGAAUUUCUCCACGAAAGCUCCAUGAUCUGAGUCUAUCGCCAUCUCUCUCUGCCACUGCUGUCUCAGACAAUCUCAGCCUCAGCAGCAGCUCCACAUUUGACGACAGAAGUGAAAAGCUCUCCACUCAUCAAUCAUACGAUGAUCGUAUUCAAAUGCAAGGACAAAUAUUAUUCCUUAAAAAAAUAUGUUGUUGAUAAGGUGGUAACUUCAGUCAGUGAGGGCAAAGUGGAAAUUCUGGAGGUAGCUUAAGUCCUCACUAUGGUCCUUAGACUUUGAGAAUUGAUACAAAUGGUCUUUAAAUUUCUCCACCGUAAAUUAUUUUGCUCUAAAAAAUUUGUCAAUAUCAUCGUUGAGUGGUUGGGUUGAUUAGACAAAAUAUCAAAGAAAGACAAUUCAAGGACCGCUUCUAUCGGUUUUCAUUAUCAUGAUCAAAGUGAGGGGUUUUGCCAAAGUCAUGAACUAUUUUGACUAAAACCCUAAAAAAAAAAGGGAAUUGUUAUUGGCUCUCCAAAAAUCUCAUUCUAUACUCCAACUUUCUAUAUUUGGAAAGAAAACUACACUUCUGAUGAGUGUAGAAUAAGAUUCUUGGAGUGUUAAUAACACUUCCCAAAAAAUAAAACAUAUUCUAUGAAAAUAUUGUGAAUUUCUUAGCUUAUGGAUCCAACGCAAGUACACAAUGUAUUAGGGUUUUUAUCACAAAUGAUCCCUGAGAUUGAUCAAACUCAUUAUUUUGAUCCCUCACUUUCAAAAUCAAUCAAUGUCGUCUCUAACCUUCACUACCAAAUAUCAAUUGGGUCAUUCCGUUAAGAUUUUGUUAACUAUUCUGUUAGUUUAUAUGCGGGGCCCACAAUUUCAAUGAAAUUGUGACAUGUAGAUUACACAAAAUAAGGAUUUUUAUCGCAAAUGGUCCCUAACAUUGAUCUAACUCCUCAUUUUGGUAUCUGAGUUUCAAAAAUUAAUAAAUUUGGUCAUUGACUUUCAAUACCGCAUGUUAAUUUAAUCAUUCCGUUAAAGUUUCGUCAAUAUUCUUUUUCCCACUAAUUCAAUCAUAUGACGUCACGUGAAUUAACUAUAAGAAAUUUUUUUUUAAAGAUUUAAAACUAAAAGUAAAAUAAGAGACUAAAAACCAAUACUAAAAGAAAGAAAAAAGUCAUCGUCAUCUUCAUCAGGUAUGCUAAAAAAGAAAAUAAAGGCACCAUGACACUAUUAAAGUUCUUGGCCUCCUAAACUUACUCUUCAUUAUCUCCAGUUGGUUAUAAUCCUAUCAACUUUAAAUUGAAUUUGGAUUCGAUUUUAUCAAAUUUAGAUUGAAUUUUUUUCAAUUGGGGUUGUGGGAUGUGAGAAAUAUCAACGCAGAAUACUCGUAUGUUGGUUCAAUCUUAAAAAAAAAAAAAAAUUCUUAUAGUUAAUCCACGUGGAGCCAUAUUGAUGAAAUUUUAAUGAAAUGACUAAAUUGAUGUGCGAUAGUGAAAGUCAGGGAUCAAAUUCAUAAAUUUUUGAAACUUAGGGACCAAAAUGAGGGGUUGGACCAAUGUCAGUGACCAUUUGCGAUAAAAACUUUAAUUUUGUGUAAUCCACAUGUCACUAUUUCACUAGAUUUGUGGGUUCCACUUACAAACUAACAUAAUAGUUGACGGAAUUUUAACGGAAUGACCAAAUUGAUGUGGGGUAGUGAAUAUCAUGGACGACAUUAAUUGAUUUUGAAAGUAAGUCUCACUUACAAACUAACAGAAUAGUUGAAGGAAUCUUAACGGAAUGACCAAAUUGAUGUAGGGUAGUGAAUGUCAUGGACGACAUUAAUUGAUUUUGAAAGUAAGCGACCAAAAUGAUGAAUUUGAUCAAUUUUAUGGACCAUUUGUGAUAAAAACUCCAUUGUAUUAUCAAUGGAAACAAAAUUUCAAGUGGCAGUUCCAUACAUAUGCAGGCGAACUUUCAUUCGCUGCGGUCGUAAUAAAAAAAUAUGUACAAAUAAGGGAUCACAGGUCUGUGCUCGGCGAGUUCCACCUCUGCUGGCUUUGUAGUUACUCCCGGAGCACUCCAACCUAAGCGUUGCAUGCACACAGCAUCGUAUGCUUCAAUUUUCAAACCCGAAGCAAGAAAUAGUUCCACCUCGUUUACAAACCGAUUGGUUCUUGCUGCCAGGAAAGGCCCUGCUGCAUCACAGGUUGAUUCUUGAAAUUCUCUUUGUUUUUCUUCAGGUGCCGUCGUUCGACCUUUUUGUUCAUCCCUUGAAAAUGCAUGGUUCAGGUAAAAGUUCAGACAAAGAGUUCAUUGAAAUUUUGCACGUUUUCAAGCACUUCAAUGUUGUUCUUUCUCAUAUCUUGUCCAAAAGAACUCUAAAGACGGGAACUAACUUUGGAACGUUAUUCGAUUUUUCAAUUGAAGAUCUAGGGAGUAACACAUAUCACCUCGUCAGGGAUGAAUUAAUCACGCCAUGUAUGUGGUGCAUGACGAUGUCAACAUCUUCCUCCUACAAGCAGCAACAGAAGCAAGUUAGCUAUAAAGAGUCACCCGAAUAACUAUAACAUGCAUGUUCUGCUUUGGUCGUCAUAGAUAAAGAAAGACCACACGCACAAUUUUAUGAUUAGCUAAUUGGACUAGGUGAUCCAGUUCAUUGCCAAGCCAAAGAAACAAAAAUGAAACUCUGUAAGAUGUUGAAAUGUCCCCGUGUCACCACGAAAGAAAAUUUAUGCAGAAGAAGCCAAGACCUGCAUCAGAGCUUGGAUUUCCCUUCUCCACCAACUUUGGAGCCAGCGGUUUGGCUGAAGAUACUUGCUGGACUUCCGAUACCGUGGUAUGUCAAAUAUGUCACUUAAGAAAACUAAUUAAGAAACAAAGUUAACCAACUGGAAGGCAUGUAAACAGUGACGUCGUUUCUCAGGGAUAUAAAAUGAGAAACAACACAACCAAUAAAAUGACAAGAAGCACAAAACCUGGUUCAGUGUAAUAACACUGCAAUCUAUGCUUGUGCUCCUUUGAUAAGAAAAAGCUGCAGAUACCAUUAACAAAAAACGAUUUACAAAGAGGGUUACAUAUUUUCGAAAACGAUUUACAAAACUUUAUUUUUCAGGCCUAUCCACCCUUGUUUUUCUCCCCUCCAGGAAUUUUAGUGGCAGAGGUUUUGUGACGACGAGGAUUGUUGGUAAAAGCUGUUAUGUAGGAGACUUCUCCUUUCAGUAUAAAUGUCAUUACUCUUCUUUUAUUGUAAUUUAUUUAUGCUCUGACAUCAUUUGUGUGAAAUGGGUUCAAUCCCGCUCAUAUGCGCAGUCUAAAUUAGUUACUUUUAGGUUUUAAUUUAUUCACAAUUUUCACUUCACUACAUUUUAUGGCUUCGUCACCUCUGAGUGUCGGCUAGUACAUCACGAUUUGGGUGUCUGCGUGGACAUUCCGAGUCGGAAUGUGUCAAAAAUGUACCAUAUAAAGGCUACCAAUUUUUUGUAUGUAAAAUAUCAUUAAUAUAAGUAAUGACAAAUCAUGGGUUUUAUUUAAAUAGUUUAUUUUAAUGACAAAUCAUGUCAUUAAGAUAAAUUAUACUUUUUUAUAUAAGUAUAAUUUAUUUUUUUAUAUUUUCAAUCCCACAAAUCAUGAAUUUUAUCUAAAAUCUCAUUAAUACAAGUAACUAAAAAUAUCAAAAUAUCAAAUUUUAAUUUGAAAUUAUAAUAACCUACAUAGAAAUUUAUUAUUGUAUUAAUUUCAGGAACUUCAAUAAAAAACUGAAAACCAACAAGGUUUCAAUUGGAUUAAAAUUGAGGGACCAUUGAUACAAUUUUUCUUAUUUGAUUUUUCAUAUUUGCCCCUUAAUUUGGCCUCAUGUGCAUAGCAUGUGACUUAUUUUGGCAUAAGUUCUAAUGUAGUUGACAAAAAAAAAAAAUCAUAUCUGCACGUUUUGAUGAGUUUAGAGACCAAUGUUAAUGAAUUUUUAGUUGAUGGAUCGUUGCUCCUAUUAAGUUAAAGUUGAGAAAUUAUUGCUACAAUUUCCUCUACAAUUAAAGCUAAUAUAUAAGCUUGAUAGCUUGCUCAUGGACCAUACACAAGGAUAAAACGAGGAAAAUUCCUAUCUAUUUUAAACCUUAUGACUGAUUUGGGAUUGUGGUUCUUUUAUAAAAAACAGCUUAUGAAAAAAUCUGGAACAUCAAAUGUAUUUGGUACCAAAAAAAAAAGUGCUUAUUUAAAAAAUUGUUGUCAAUGACAACAGAAAAGUAAAGAAAAGCAGAAGCAGGGUCUACUAUGUUUCUAAAAAUUUCUAAGCAUGGUGAACAGUGAGAAUUUAAUGAAAUUUUCAAAUGGCAACUGCAUAUUUUACAAAAUAACAAUCGUUGUCCGUGCAAUAUUCUCUUUGGCAAUUAUUAUAUCACAUUAAAUGUCAUAUCAUUUUUAGUAUUUAACAAAUUCACAUCAAUUAUAUAUAUAAAAGUUUACAAAACACUCAGAUACUGUUUUAUUUUUUUACAAGCACUUUUACAAUAAAAGUUUAUCAAACGCUCAACAACUUUAUUUUACAACUGUUUAUUCUCAAAAUACUGCAGAAACAAUUUAAAAAAAAAAAAAAACAAAACAUAACAACACCAAACUAGCAGAACUUACAAGCACAUGUAUUAGGAAAAGAUUAUCAGAAUCUGCAACUCAAAAUCUUGUAGUCAACAUUCACAACUUCCCGGCGUGUUCUUUGAGAGUGCCGUAAAGAGUCUCCACAAGAUUGAGCAGGAAUCCAUCCGAGCCAUGCUUUGCCAGCAAGGAAACUGAAACAGGUAGGUUAUCGCACAUCCCUAGUGGUAUACUCACCUGCAAAUACGUAGAAAUAAGUUACUAACUUUCGCAAGAUACUUGCAGUCAAUGACGAAGAAAAAGAUUGUAACAUGUCGUAUACAAACAUGGAAAGGGGGAGGGAGAGGUAGAGAUAGAUAGAGGGCUUAAAAACCUGGCAGAAUCCGGAAACUACGGCAAUGGAUUGGAAGCUGAAAGCCCGGGCACGAAAAGCGUCCAGUAUACUAGGAUCUGUUUGCAGCUUUGGUGGAUCCCCUGGAACUGUAGGCAUUGCGAGGACACCGAAAUCCUGAUGAGUAAUUCAAAGAGAUUGUGUUACGUAUUCAUCAGAGACAGUAUUUCUUCUGCUAAAAGUUUCGUUUUAAGAGCAAAAGGAAGGAAGAUGCUAACAAAUAACAGUUUGUCAGUCUCUCUACUCUAACAAAACGAACUCGUUUGAUAUGAAGUGACGGAUUCCUAAAAUGAACUUUAGCGUGUGCAAAGAUGUGAGAGAGAGAGAGAGAGAGAGUACCCCGAGAAGUUCAGUAAGAGCAGCACGCAAUUCAGUCAUCACGGAGUGACAAACAUCGACAUUUUCAUCUGUUGACCGAACGGCUGCCCAUAUACGUUCUCCUAUCCCGGGACCUAAGUCAGGUCUGACUGUACUAACCCAUUCACCAUGGUUGCUCUUGAAUUCAUACCUAUUCUAUCAACCAAAUAAUAAAUUUGGAAUUCAUUAUGUACGACAAAUUUAAAUUUUGUUAAUCAAGGUGAAGAUGCAGAAAUUAUCACACUCAUAUUCAAGUCCACCAAAUCAGCACCUUGCGAGAAGAUGAAAGGCGGUUGAUAGGGCUGCCAAAGACGGUAUAAUGUACUCUUCACUUGGAUUUCCUUUAUCCAAGAAAGAGUUCAAGCUUGGAACUUUGUCCUUGACAACAUCCCCGAGGUUAGCAUGUUUUAUAACUUGACCUGCAUUUGCAGAUAUAACGAGUGAGCUUCUUCUUUCCAUGUUGUGAGCUUGUCACUAUCUCAGCAGGAGACCCAAUUUAAUUAAUUGAUUAAUUUUCAGUUAAUAAUCUGUCUAUUGAACAUAAUGGCCAAUUUGUGUCUUAAAACGUGGGGGAAUUAUAAAUUGGACUCGAUUCAUGUCAAUCAAAAUACUUACAGCUAGAGAUGAAACAGAUGAAUACGGUCAAAUCACUUACCCCCAAAUAACUUCUCAACUGACUCAACAAGUACUUGUUUCACUCGACUGCUUGGAACACUUGAAAUCUGGAAACAGUCUUCUGCGAUGAUUAACUGAGUGGGUACGACAGGACCCGUAUCAGGCAAUUGGAGUAACACUCGUCCAACUCUAUUCAAAAUCGCAGGAUUCCUUGCAAACCAUCCUAUAUCAGAAGUUAGUGUCAAAAGGAUGGUUUCCGAUUGCUUAGAGUGCUAGAUAGAUCAUUCACAUAGGUAAAGCUUUCGAAGUACUAUAGUUCCAAUUGCAGAAAAACUUAAACACAGAAGUGUCACGAGUAAUAAUCAACAAAGAUGCAGAAUGCACGGAUGGCAUAUGAAUCAUUGAAGCGGAGGAAGUUAGCUACUUUCUAGAAAUAAAGAGAGAUAUUUCCUGUUACAUAAAAUCAAGGGGAAAAAACCGAAAACAUGACCUUUUUUUUGUCACGACCAGAAAUCUAUUUCCUAAGCCAGUCUGCAAUAUAAAAUGUCAUUGAUUUCUCACCCACUGUAUCGAAACUUUGUGCCAGAGGAGUAACUCCAGAAGUAGAAAUGACACCAUGAGAUGGCCGAAACCCAAAAAUUCCACAAUGCGACGCAGGAAUUCUUACACUUCCUCCAGUGUCAGUUCCUGAAAAAGUGAGGGUCUUGUGCUUCAACAUAAAGAAGCAAGAAAACAACAAAAGCACACUAGGAAUAACUUACCUAAGGAAAAAUCUGCGAGGCCUACAGCUACGGCAACAGCAGAACCGCUAGAAGCCUCCAGGCACCCUAUCUGGAGCGCACGGAUUUCUGGGUGUGCCAUAAUGCUUGUUCUCUCCAUUCAUACUGCCAACAACACAGUGCAAAAUUCAAGGGCGUUUUCUGUCGAGUGAUUUUCGAAUGUCCAAAAUCAUUAUAUAAAUACUUUUACCACGAAAAGAGACUUGUAGCGAUCAAUCAUUUGUCAAAAUUUUUGGGAACAAAACAGUAAUGCAAGUUUAAGCAUGUGAAGUAAGACAAGGCCUCUUUGUACUAACCAGUAUGCCAUUUCAUCCAUGACAGUUAUACCAAUACUUGUGGCACCUCCACUCAAUAUUGCUGAAACAGCCGGAGCUGUUGAUUCAGCAGCCGGGUGAGUCCUCGCCCAAUCAGGAUUCCCAAACCCAGUCACACGUCCAGCCACAUCAAAUCUGCCUCCAAGUUCAAAUUUCAGUGAACACAAAAAUGUUUUGGCUUUUACACACACAUGAAAAAAAUUGCACAAUUCAACACCCUGAAGUUCACCAUCAUGGUUCCACAAGCACACAUAAAACCACACAAAGCAUGAAGAUUUAUUAAAACGCUUCUCUGAAAAAGCACUUCUCAUCAUAAGUGCUUUUGCUGGAAGUAUUUUUACUUUAGUAGAAGUAAAUCCACCACAAAGUUUCAUUAAAAAUUCAAGUGCUUCAGAAAAAAAACAUUUGAACUUUUUUUUCUGUAAGUGUUUUUAGUCAUUCUCAAAUGAAGAAACGCCCAAUCACAGAAACAACACACAAAAUUGGGUUCUUGGAGACAACUGAUUGAACCCAAAUCCGAAAUCAGCAAAUAAGCACAAAAGCAUAUGAAUUUUAAGUAUAACACUACAAAAUUUAAAGCAUCCACCAAAUAGAAGAGUGAUAUAAUUGAGGAAAAUUUAAGAGAGUAGCUCUCACAUGUCUUUAACAGCAAAGGUGAGGCCACUCAGAGGAAGGUCAUGUGAUGAAGACGGCGGUCGGAGAAGGAAUUUCUCCACGAAAGCUCCAUGAUCUGAGUCUAUCGCCAUCUCUCUCUGCCACUGCUGUCUCAGAUAAUCUCAGCUUCAGCAGCUGCUCCACAUUUGACGACAGAAGUGAAUAGCUCUCCACUCAUCAAUCAUACGAUGAUCCUAUUCAAAUGCAAGGACAGAUUAUUCCUUAAAAAAAUCUGUUGUUGAUAGGUGGUCACUUCAGUCAGUGAGGGCAAAGUGGAAAUUCUGGAGGUAGUAAGUCCUCACUAUGGUCCUUAGACUCUGAGAAUUGAUACAAAUGGUCUUUAAAUUUGUCCACCGUAAAUUAUUUUGCUCUAAAAAAUUUGUCAAUAUCAUCAUUGAGUGGAUGGGUUGAUUAGACAAAAUAUCCUUAAAAAGAAUGACAAUUCAAGGACCGCUUCUAUCGGUUUUCAUUAUCAUGAUCAAAGUGAGGGGUUUUGCCAAAGUCAGGAACCAUUUUGACUAAAACCCUAAAAAAAAAGGGGAAUUGUUAUUGGCUCUCCAAAAAUCUCAUUCUAUACUCCAACUUUCUAUAUUUGGAAAGAAAACUACACUUCUGAGGAGUGUAGAAUAAGAUUCUUGGAGUGUUAAUAACACUUCCCAAAAAAUAAAACAUAUUCUAUGAAAAUAUUGUGAAUUUCUUAGCUUAUGGAUCCAACGCAAGUACACAAUGUAUUAGGGUUUUUAUCACAAAGGAUCCCUGAGAUUGAUCAAACUCAUUAUUUUGAUCCCUCACUUUCAAAAUCAAUCAAUGUUGUCUCUAACCUUCACUACCAAAUAUCAAUUUGGUCAUUCCGUUAAGAUUUUGUUAACUAUUCUGUUAGUUUAUAUGCGGGGCCCACAAUUUCAAUGAAAUUGUGACAUGUAGAUUACACAAAAUAAGGAUUUUUAUCGCAAAUAAUCCCUAACAUUGAUCUAACUUCUCAUUUUGGUCUCUGAGUUUCAAAAAUUAAUAAAUUUGGUCAUUGACUUUCAAUACCGCAUGUUAAUUUAAUCAUUCCGUUAAAGUUUCGUCAAUAUUCUUUGUCCCACUAAUUCAAUCAUAUGACGUCACGUGAAUUAACUAUAAGAAACUUUUUUUUUUAAGAUUUAAAAUUAAAAGUAAAAUAAGAGACUGAAAACCAAAACUAAAAGAAAGAAAAGAGUUAUCGUCAUCUUCAUCAGGUAUGCUAAAAAAGAAAAUAAAGGCACCAUGACACUAUUAAAGUUCUUGGCCUCCUAAACUUACUCUUCAUUAUCUCCAGUUGGUUAUAAUCCUAUCAACUUUAAAUUGAAUUUGGAUUCGAUUUUAUCAAAUUUAGAUUGAAUUUUUUUCAAUUGGGGUUGUGGGAUGCGAGAAAAAUAUCAAUGCGGAAUACUCGUAUGUUGGUUCAAUCUUAAAAAAAAAAAAAAUUCUUAUAGUUAAUCCACGUGGAGCCAUAUUGAUGAAAUUUACAAAAUGACUAAAUUGAUGUGCGAUAGUGAAAGUCAGGGAUCAAAUUCAUAAAUUUUUGAAACUUAGGGACCAAAAUGAGGGUUUGGACCAAUGUCAGUGACCAUUUGCGAUAAAAACUUUAAUUUUGUGUAAUCCACAUGUCACUAUUUCACGUUGAUGGAAUCUUAAUGGAAUGACCAAAUUGAUGUGGGGUAGUGAAUAUCAUGGACGACAUUAAUUGAUUUUGAAAGUAAGUCCCACUUACAAACUAACAGAAUAGGUGAAGGAAUCUUAACCGAAUGACCAAAUUGAUGUAGGGUAGUGAAUGUAAUGGAUGACAUUAAUUGAUUUUGAAAGUAAGCGACCAAAAUGAUGAGUUUGAUCAAUCUUAUGGACCAUUUGUGAUAAAAACUCCAUUGUAUUAUCAAUGGAAACAAAAUUUCAAGUGGCAGUUCCAUACAUAUGCAGGCGAACUUUCAUUCGCUGCGGUCGGAAUAAAAAAAUAUGUACAAAUAAGGGAUCACAGGUCUGUGCUCGGCGAGUUCCACCUCUGCUGGCUCUGUAGUUACUCCCGGAGCACUCCAACCUAAGCGUUGCAUGCACACAGCAUCGUAUGCUUCAAUUUUCAAACCCGAAACAAGAAAUAGUUCCACCUCGUUUACAAACCGAUUGGUUCUUGCUGCCAGGAAAGGCCCUGCUGCAUCACAGGUUGAUUCUUGAAAUUCUCUUUGUUUUUCUUCAGGUGCCGUCGUUCGACCUUUUUGUUCAUCCCUUGAAAAUGCAUGGUUCAGGUAAAAGUUCAAACAAAGAGUUCAUUGAAAUUUUGCACGUUUUCAAGCACUUCAAUGUUGUUCUUUCUCAUAUCUUGUCCAAAAGAACUCUAAAGACGGGAACUAAACUUUGGAACGUUAUUCGAUUUUUCAAUUGAAGAUCUAGGGAGUAACACAUAUCACCUCGUCAGGGAUGAAUUAAUCACGCCAUGUAUGUGGUGCAUGACGAUGUCAACAUCUUCCUCCUACAAGCAGCAACAGAAGCAAGUUAGCUAUAAAGAGUCACCCGAAUAACUAUAACAUGCAUGUUCUGCUGUGGUCGUCAUAGAUAAAGAAAGACCACACGCACAACUUUAUGAUUUAGCUAACUGGACUAGGUGAUCCAGUUCAUUGCCAAGCCAAAGAAACAAAAAUGAAACUCUGUAGGAUGUUGAAAUGUCCUCGUGUCACCACGAAAGAAAAUUUAUGCAGAGAAGUCAAGACCUGCACCAGAGCUUGGAUUUCCCUUCUCCACCAACUUUGGAGCCAGCGGUUUGGCUGAAGAUACUUGCGGGACUUCUGAUACCGUGGUACAUCAAAUAUGUCACUUAAGAAACCAUGUAAACAGUGACGGCGUUUCUCAGGGAUAUAAAAUGAGAAACAACACAACCAAUAAAAUGACAAGAAGAACAAAACCUGGUUCAGUGUAAUAACACUGCAAUCUAUGCUUGUGCUCCUUUGAUAAGAAAAAGCUGCAGAUACCAUUAACAAAAAACGAUUUACAGCGAGGGGUUACAUAUUUUCGAAAACGAUUUACAAAACUUUAUUUUUUAGGCCCAUCCACCCUUGUUUUUCGCCCCUCCAGGAAUUUUAGUGGCAGAGGUUUUGUGACGACGAGGAUUGUUGGUAAAAGCUGUUACGUAGGAGACUUCUCCUUUCAGUAUAAAUGUCAUUACUCUUCUUUUAUUGUAAUUUAUUUAUGCUCUGACAUCAUUUGUGUGAAAUGGGUUUAAUCCUGCUCAUAUGUGCAGUCUAAAUUAGUUACUUUUAGGUUUUAAUUUAUUCACAAUUUUCACAUCACUACAUUUUAUAACUUCGUCACCUUCUGAGUGUCGGCUAGUACAUCACAAUUUGGGUGUCUGUGUGGACAUUCCAAGUCGAAAUGUGUCAAAAAUGUACCAUACCAAUUUUUUGUAUGUAAAAUAUCAUUAAUAUAAGUAAUGACAAAUCAUGGGUUUUAUUUAAAUAUAGUUUAUUUUAAUGACAAAUCAUGUCAUUAAGAUAAAUUAUACUUUUUUAUAUAAGUAUAAUUUAUUUUUUUAUAUUUUCAAUCCCACAAAUCAUGAAUUUUAUCUAAAAUCUCAAUAAUAUAAGUAACUACAAAUAUCAAAAUAUCAAAUUUUAAUUUGAAAUUAUAAUAACCUACAUAGAACUUUAUUAUUGUAUUAAUUUCAGGAACUUCAAUAAAAAAAUUGAAAACCAACAAGGUUUCAAUUGGAUUAAAAUUGAGGGACAAUUUCUCCAUUUGGAUUAAAAUUGAGAGACUAUUGAUACAAUUUUUCUUAUUUGAUUUUUCAUAUUUGCCCCUUAAUUUGGCCUCAUGUGCAUAGCAUGUGAUUUAUUUUGGCAGAAGUUCUAACGUAGUUGACAAAAAAAAAAAACCAUAUCUGCACGUUUUGAUGAGUUUAGAGACAAAUGUUAAUGAAUUUUUAGUUAAUGGAUAGUUGCUCCAAUUAGGUUAAAGUUGAGAAAUUAUUGCUACAAUUUCCUCUACAAUGAAAGCUAAUAUAUAAGCUUGAUAGCUUGCUCAUGGACCAUACACAAGGAUAAAACGAGGAAAAUUCCUAUCUAUUUUAAACCUUAUGACUGAUUUGGGAUUGUGGUUCUUUUAUAAAAAAACAGCUUAUGAAAAAAUUUGGAAACCAAAAAAAAAAGUGCUUAUUUAAAAAAUUGUUGUCAAUGACAACAUAAAAGCAAAGAAAAGCAGAAACAAGGUCUACUAUGUUUCUAAAAAUUUCUAAGCAUAGUGAACUGUGAGAAUUAAUGAAAUUUUCAAAUGGCAACUGCAUAUUUUACAAAAUAACAAUCGUUGCCCGUGCAAUAUUCUCUUUGACAAUUAUUAUAUCACAUUAAAUGUCAUAUCAUUUUUAGUAUUUAACAAAUUCACAUCAAUUUUAUAUAUAAAAGUUUACAAAACACUCUGUUUUAUUUUUUUACAAGCACUUUUACAAUAAAAGUUUAUCAAACGCUCAACAACUUUAUUUUACAACUGUUUAUUCUCAAAACACUGCAGAAACAAUUUAAAAAAAAAAAAAAAAGACAUAACAACACCAAACUAGCAGAACUUACAAGCACAUAUAUUAGGAAAAGAUUAUCAGAAUCUGCAACUCAAAAUCUUGUAGUCAACAUUCACAACUUCCCGGCGUGUUCUUUGAGAGUGUCGUAAAGAGUCUCCACAAGAUUGAGCAGGAAUCCAUCCGAGCCAUGCUUUGCCAGCAAGGAAACUGAAACAGGUAGGUUAUCGCACAUCCCUAGUGGUAUACUCACCU
rnacentral:lncRNA from 1 species